UCCCUCUGGUUCUUUCCCCAGGAGUUAUUGACUCCAUGUUUUAUGUCUGUACGCCACUCGUGUUUCCGUCCAUGUUCUUUUAUUUAUUAAAUUCACUCCUUGUACUUGCAUCCUGAUUAUUAGCGUACAUGUUACAGAAUACAGAAUACACAAAGGUUCUCAAGCCUCGGUUGGCGUGUCAAGCUUCCAUUGCCAAAGCUACUGGGGAUGCCUCAGCCAGCUCGUCAGGCUCCCGCUCCUUGGCCGGCUCAGGCUAACGGGCCUCGAUCGGCUCUACAGGUUCCCGCGCCUCAACAGAGGUGAGCAGCCCGCUCCUGGUCCUCGGGACCAUCCCUCUGGUUGGCAUCCUGGAGCAGCCCGUCAGAAAGGGGUCACUCUCUACUCGCACCCGUUCCUGUCCUAGUGGAUCUCCUAAUGGAAGUUUUAGUGGAUCCCCUGAGUGAAUUUCUUGGUGGAUCUCUUGAAUGGAUUUCUGGGUGGAUAUCUAUGUGGAUCUCCUGACUGGAUAUCACAAUGCAUCUGAGUGGAACUCUACUGACCUGGUCUGAAGCAACCAUAACCCACGGAUCAUUCAGCUACUGCCCUGCACUGACCUGGUCUGGAGUAACCCCAUAACCCCCUGAUCAUUCAACUACUGCCCUGCACUGACCUGGUCUGAUAGUAACCAUA